GNCCGGAUAGGACCUCGGGAUGCAUGUUCCGGGGUGGAAAGGUUUUCCGGUGCAGGAUGGGCCCGCGGCCUAUCAGCUUGUUGGUGGGGUAACGGCCCACCAAGGCGACGACGGGUAGCCGGCCUGAGAGGGCGACCGGCCACACUGGGACUGAGACACGGCCCAGACUCCUACGGGAGGCAGCAGUGGGGAAUAUUGCACAAUGGGCGCAAGCCUGAUGCAGCGACGCCGCGUGAGGGAUGACGGCCUUCGGGUUGUAAACCUCUUUCAGUACCGACGAAGCGCAAGUGACGGUAGGUACAGAAGAAGCACCGGCCAACUACGUGCCAGCAAGCCGCGGUAAUACGUAGGGUGCGAGCGUUGUCCGGAAUUACUGGGCGUAAAGAGCUCGUAGGCGGUUUGUCGCGUCGUCUGUGAAAACCCGCAGCUCAACUGCNGGCUUGCAGGCGAUACGGGUAGACUUGAGUACUGCAGGGGAGACUGGAAUUCCUGGUGUAGCGGUGAAAUGCG
rnacentral:rRNA from 1 species